UACGUAGGGGGCGAGCGUUGUCCGGAAUUAUUGGGCGUAAAGCGCGCGCAGGCGGUCCUUUAAGUCUGAUGUGAAAGCCCACGGCUCAACCGUGGAGGGUCAUUGGAAACUGGGGGACUUGAGUGCAGGAGAGGAGAGCGGAAUUCCACGUGUAGCGGUGAAAUGCGUAGAGAUGUGGAGGAACACCAGUGGCGAAGGCGGCUCUCUGGCCUGUAACUGACGCUGAGGCGCGAAAGCUAGGGGAGCAAACAGG
rnacentral:rRNA from 1 species